rnacentral:lncRNA from 1 species
UGUGUAAUAUGUUCUGGCAAAAAUUUUUGUAAAUGAGGUGUCCUGGGUGUUGGUGUUUGCUGAACGCUGGAAGACACGGUUUAGCCGAAGCGGCUAUAUUGGAUGAGUUCCAAACUCGCAGGUCGUAUUUGUUGGUAUUACC